AGUUUGUAUGUACUGCUGGUUCCUUUGGAGCACGUUUGACCCCGUGGCACGCUACUCGUUCGCACUAAAUGCAUUCGUUCACUCCAUAAUGUAUUUUUAUUACGGGCUCAGGUCGGCAAACAUAAAAUUGGGAACUUAUCUCCCCAUGGCGCUCACGAUUAUCCAGAUUGCACAAAUGUUUGCCGGGAUCUUCAUUAGCGUCUACACUUCAUACGUAAUUCUUUCUGGAGGCGAGUGUGACCGACCGUGGUCCAAUAUUGGCGUCGUCUUCGUCAUUUACUUCUCGUACUUUGGAUUGUUCCUCAACUUCUUUUAUCAACGAUAUUUAAGUACCAAGUUUAAGAAAGUGAAAUAAAACGGGGUACAAAUAUUUAAAACAUAAUUAAUAAACAUAUUUAUGUAUGUAUAGUUAUCAAAUCUGUGUUUGUAGAUAACUCGCAUUCAAAUUGAUUUAUAUUUUUGACAUUUUUCCAUACAACGCAUACAUAAAUUUGCAAGGGUAAUAUUUGCAUCCACAUAAUGUUUCGCAAUGUACACGUGGAAGCAAUUAACGUAUUUGUGUAA